rnacentral:rRNA from 1 species
UACAGAGGGGGCAAGCGUUGUUCGGAAUUACUGGGCGUAAAGGGCGCGUAGGCGGCCCGCUAAGUCGAACGUGAAAUCCCCGAGCUCAACUCGGGAACUGCGUCCGAUACUGGCGGGCUUGAAUCCGGGAGAGGGAUGCGGAAUUCCAGGCGUAGCGGUGAAAUGCGUAGAUAUCUGGAGGAACACCGGUGGCGAAGGCGGCAUCCUGGACCGGUAUUGACGCUGAGGCGCGAAAGCGUGGGGAGCGAACAGG